rnacentral:rRNA from 1 species
GUGAACCUGCGGAAGAUCAUUACACAAAUACAAUAUGAAGGCCUGGCUUCGCGGCCGGCUGAAAUAUUUUUUUCACCCAUGUCUUUUGCGCACUUGUUGUUUCCUGGGCGGGUUCGCCCGCCACCAGGACCAAACCAUAAACCUUUUUUUUAUGCAGUUGCAAUCAGCGUCAGUAAAAACAAUGUAAUUAUUACAACUUUCAACAACGGAUCUCUUGGUUCUGGCAUCGAUGAAGAACGCAGCGAAAUGCGAUACGUAGUGUGAAUUGCAGAAUUCAGUGAAUCAUCGAAUCUUUGAACGCACAUUGCGCCCUUUGGUAUUCCAAAGGGCAUGCCUGUUCGAGCGUCAUUUGUACCCUCAAGCUUUGCUUGGUGUUGGGCGUUUUGUGUCUCCCUCUUUCUGGGAGACUCGCCUUAAAACGAUUGGCAGCCGACCUACUGGUUUCGGAGCGCAGCACAUAUUUUGCGCUUUGUAUCAGGAGAAAAGGACGGUAAUCCAUCAAGACUCUACAUUUUUAACUUUUGACCUCGGAUCAGGUAGGGAUACCCGCUGAACUUAAGCAUAUCAAUAAGCGGAGGAAAAGAAACCAACAGGGAUUGCCCUAGUAACGGCGAGUGAAGCGGCAACAGCUCAAAUUUGAAAUCUGGCUCUUUCAGA